AGCCACCGGUCCGAGUGUCAGGUGAACUGAACUUCAGACAGCGAGUGAUGGACAGAAUGACACUGCAGAGUUUCUGUGCUCAGAGCUGCCAAAUGAGGACACAUCCCAGAAACACAGUGACAUCUGCUGCGUUGUAAAAUGCUGCUGUUGUUCCCUUUUAUGGCUCUGGAUUUGCUUUUUGGAGGACAUAAAGCGAGCAAUAGAAGCCUGACAAUUUCAAGAGGGAGGAAAAAAGGAGAGAAGGCAAAGAGAUGACAGCACAUGACCAUACUGUUAAAUAUCCCUCGGAAUGAAACGCUCGAAGGGAUUUGACUUUAUUCCUUCUUUAAAUACUGCAUCUAUGCUAAAGAAGGCCUGACGGAUGCAAUCUUAAAACACUAUUUUUAUAUUUUACCCACUCAUCCCUCCGCUAACAACAGGAACAACCACAGUUCUCUUUUCUACUGUGUGUCCUGCACUAUUACUUCAUGUGUCUUAUUUGUGAAAACCUGGAAGAAGGUGGGAAACAACAGUCACAUAAAUGAAGGUGCAGAACUGAAAUACUGACGAGGCAGAAUUAAAAAACGUCAUCUUAAA